CAAGUAUUCUUCACACAUGUCCAAACCACCUAAAGGCAAGACUCUACAUUUUCUACACAUGCGCAACUUAAGUGCUUCUCUAAAUCUCAGUGAAAUUCCUGGUUCAUGCACAAGCUAACAAGAUCAUACCUCUCACAUUUUUCAUAAUUUAAGCCACUACUCAAUCAGUUACUUACAUAACUAGGGUAGAAACUAUCAUUCCAUUCCAAUACGUAACAAUCACCUAUUUUUUACUCCACUUCUAUAUUAACAUAAAACAUUUUAAGCCAUAUAUCACAAGGCGGUCAUUGAAUACUCUUUAAGAUACUCAAAUGCAUCUGAAGUUAAAUAUCAACAGCAUACUAAUUCAUGUUUCACCCCAUUCUAUAAACCCACCAAUCACAAACUCUUUGUUUGCUAAAUAAUAUGGAAUCUACUCAUACAUCUAAAGAAAAUCAACAUUCAUUAAAUUAUUUUUAAAAAUCUACAUUCCAUAUAUUCAAUCAAUCAACCAACCUCUACUAAAACCUAAAACUGAUUCAAAAACUGAUUGAAAAACACCCUAGUAU
rnacentral:lncRNA from 1 species